rnacentral:lncRNA from 1 species
AUCACUUAUCUACUGUUUCAAAAAAAAAAAUCCAUCAAGUACCUAACAACCCACCCCCUAGAGCAGACCGGUACCUCCUGAUCCACUCCUAAAACUUCUAGUACUUUUUGUUAAUAAGGUGAACCAGUUAGUAAUGACCUGUUUUUGAAAUAUGAUUAAAGUUUCUCUCUCCCACAGACUAUAGGCCCCACAUCUUGCAUAUCAUUUUAUCUCUAAUGCCUGGCACAUGAUAGGUGAUCAAAAUAUAUUUGUUUCAUAAAUGAAUAAUUGAUCACCUUCCUAAUGAAUGAGAGUUAUGCAUCAGGACUGGGGGUUACGUGAUAAGAGAGGCAAAACAUGAGAUACAUGGUACACACUGAUGAUAUCCUAUGCUUAGUAAUACCUGAUUCUGGAUCUAAACUGAUGUAGGGAUCAAUAUGGUUUGAAUACCUUUCUCUGAUGAAAAUAAAUUAAGAUAGAAGGUACACAAACCAUGCACUAAUCAAACAUAGGAUGUGGAAUUUCUCUAACAGUAAAACACAACCCAAAAAUAUAAACUACUAGAAACUUUAGGGACAAGGUGAGAACCAAAUACAAAUUUGUAUGUAACAAUUAUGUGGAGAAUCUUAAAUCUGAUCUCACUAUGGCUUAUAUACUUCUAUUUAAAGAAUAGUUAAAAUUAAUUUGUGGCUCAGAUUAGUUUUCAGUUGUUGAGAUUUUAAAAGAAGGCAUAUGGGGGCUGGGGCUGAGGAUCAGAGUUAAAGCACUUGACAAGCAUGAGGCAAUGGGUUUGAUCCUCAGCACCACAUAAAUAUAAAAUAUAUUGUGUCCACCUAAAGCUAAAAAAUAAAUAUUUAAAAAAGAAGGCAUGUGGCAAAGUUAGGGUGUCACUAAGAAAAUCCUGCAGGCUGCUAUGUUACCUUGGUGAAUUCCUUACAGUUAAGAUCUGGCCCUGAGCCUAGUUAGCUCAGAAACAUGUUUAUUCACAGUAGACAAGCUCACAAGGGGCUGAUUUUACCCAUUAUUCUACCUGUGAAAACCUCUGUGCAUUAAAUUAUUAAUUUAUAAUAAUAUAUAACUUGUCAGACCAUAGGAUUGUAUUCAACAAAGAGUACAUUGUGUCAUUUAGUCAUAUAUAUAUAUGUAAAACAAGAUUAUAAUGGUUGUUUAUAUAUUACUUUUUGCAGUAGUUUUUAAAUUUUAAGAAAAUUAGAACUUUUCUGUAAUAAAAUUUGCAAAUAUUUUCCCUGAAAAAAACAAAAAGAUUAUAAUACCAAGAUUGCUUGGUUAGUCUAGAAUCAGAACUUGGAGUCAGGGUUUGCUGUGACUUAGAAGUUACUAAAUCUUUAAACUGACUGUGUAUAGCUCUGAUCUGACCACUGUGUGUGAAUCUUAUAACAUCUCUCAGAGGGCCCUCUUAUUUCCUACUCUAUACAUAGUCUGAUUCCCAGAGGGUAAUUCUUAAUCAACACACAAUUCUGGAUGUGCAAUCCUGGAAUUGUGAGAGUCCUGUGAAUGCUAUAGGUAGGCAAGAUUGUUUCUGCAACUCAUUUUAUAGGGUACAAAGUGAUUAUGGAAGUGACAUAUGUGAGAAUGAAAAGAAUACCUAGGCUGGUUCACAGCAUUGUCAAAUAUCUGCCCAACUUGCCUUUCCAAUGUUAUGCCAGAUUCGUGGGACCCCAAUAGACCUCCAGGAGCCGAAUCCAAUGCAAUCACACAAGAGUCUUUAUUGCAAGCUUGAACCUGGACUCACAACCAUUCCCAAUGCAGUGGUCCCAGGGAGUGAGUCCCGGUCCUUUGUUCAGUGAGAUCAUUCCAUACCUCGGGAAAAUCAAACAUUCCAUUGUUAGACCAGGACACAAGAAAAGACCACUGACUCCAAUUAAAACCAAAUUAAAGCAAGCUUAUUAUUUCGACUGGCCGGGCUGCCUCUCCACCCCAAAACUGCAGGAACAAGA